UACGUAGGGUCCGAGCGUUAAUCGGAAUUACUGGGCGUAAAGCGCACGUAGGCGGAUUUGUAAGUCAGGGGUGAAAUCCCGGGGCUCAACCUCGGAACUGCCUUUGAUACUGCAAAUCUCGAGUCCGGAAGAGGUGAGUGGAAUUCCUAGUGUAAAGGUGAAAUUCGUAGAUAUUAGGAAGAACACCAGUGGCGAAGGCGGCUCACUGGUCCGGUACUGACGCUAAGGUGCGAAAGCGUGGGGAGCAAACAGG
rnacentral:rRNA from 1 species